rnacentral:tRNA from 1 species
AUCUGGGUAGCUCAAUUGGCAGAGCAACAGUCUCCAAAACUGUAGGUUGUAGGUUCAAGUCCUACCCUGGAUGCCA